CAACCCUCAAGCUCUGCUUGGUAUUGGGCCGUGCCGGUUAGGCAGGCCUCAAAAUGAGCGGCAGGACUCGUAUCAGACCUGAGCGUAGUAAUUCUUUCUCGCUUUGGGGACGGUGCGGCCUCGCCAAACACCAUAUUUUUACA
rnacentral:misc_RNA from 1 species